AUGUGUCACCUCUUUGACCGUUUGUGCACCCCAGGGGACGCUGGGAAAUCUGGAGGAGGAAGAUCUGAAGACCACCUGUCGCUCCACCCUGAACCUGUCUCUGCGCUGCUUAAAACAAGUAACACAGCAGAGGAGACUGGUUGCAGAGGAGACUGGUUGCGGAGGAGACUGGUUUACAGAGGAGACUGGUUACAGAGGAGACUGGUUUGCAGAGGAGACUGGUUACAGAGGAGACUGGUUUGCAGAGGAGACUGGUUACAGAGGAGACUGGUUACAGAGGAGACUGGUUGCAGGGGAGACUGGUUGCAGAGGAGACUUGAUACAGGGGAGACUGGUUAGAUAAUAGAGGUUAGAUAUGUGUGUGUGUGGUACUGUUACUACUGCUCUUUUCUGAAUUCCCCUCCCUGCCCCCCCCUUCUCUUUCUCCUUCCCUCCAAGCAGAUGGCCCCUCCACAGGAAUCAGGCCCCACACAGGCUCUGAGUAAAAGCCCAGCAGCUCUCUGUUUCUCUCUCCUCCCUCCCUCUUUCCUUUUUCAUUAGCUUUCUUUCUCUCUGUGUGUUUUUGCUGCGUUUGCAGUCCUGCCUGCCUAGCCAUAGCUCCAGAGCCAGGAGCUGCGGAGGCAGAGAGGGAGGAGAGGCAGCCAGUGAGUGGAGUCCAACCCAGCUUCAAAGCCUCGUUGUGGGCUUGAUGCUCAGGAUGACAUCCUCCCUCCAGCCGCCUCCACUCCUCUCAGAGAGCACAGGAGAGAGAGGUAUGGAGAGAAUACAUGAAAGAGUGAUAAUAGAAAUGAAAGGGGAGAAUGGAGAGAGACAUUUGAGAGAAGGAGAGUUGGAUGAGAGAAUUCAGGACUGACAAUGAAAGGAUGACUGCCUACAUCACUCUCAAAAAGCAAAGGGAGAGGAGCGAGGGAUAUGGAGAAAGAAAUGGAGAGAGGAAGAGAGAGGGAUGGAGUGAGAUGAAGAGGAAAAGGAGAAAUGCAGAAAGAGGGGGAUGACUAGGAUACAGACAGAUAGAUAAAAAUGAUAAGGAAAUACUUCAGAAACACAAACUGAAUGCCCGGCAUGUCAUUUUUGUGUGAAAAUGACAGAUUAGAGAGAUGGAAAUAAAACGAGGGGAGUGGAGAAGGAAUGGUGGGUUGAACUGCCUGCUCUCAGGCAGGGAGGCCUAGCUGUGUUUAUGUGUAAAUGGUUGGAUGUGUUACUCAGGUGAAAUCUAUUUCACCUCAUCAGAGGCUACUGACACACCAAGGAGCUUCCGAAUCAUCCUCCGCCAAGCGCAGGGCACACUGUCUCCAUGGCAACCCCUCAAACUGACCUCCCAUAAUCUGUACCAUAAUAACCAGCCGGUGCAAAAACCCAAACAUGACGGCAAAAUAAAACUAGCACAAACACGAGUCUCCCUCUCAUUCUCUCACUGAGGCAGAAGGAUAUGUGGAAACAUAACUAGGAAAGAAUGCACAUUGGGUCGGUUAAGUGCGGUGCUGACAGAAAAAGUUAUCCCAAACUAAAUUCACUGCAGCAUAUCUGGAAUUAUGUGUCCAAAUGACCACACCUCACUGCAGGUAGGAGCAGGUAGGAGCAGAGUAGUAAAGUUGCAAGUGUCACUGCUCUAUUUCCGUGCUUACCUAGUAUUUUGUCUGUGAUAUUCAACUAAAAGUCAUAACCAGAUCAUUUAUAAAUACUGCCCAUCCACCUGUUUUUAACACUAGCCAUGGAAUGCUUCACAUCACUUUUUGAAUGACAACACUGCAGUGUGAUAAACAGUGUUAUAUGCAGAAGUUGAAACCAGACAAUUUAUGAAUAGCCUACUGUCCAUACCCCCAUACCCUCACAUACCCUCACAAGUGCUUGAUUGAUGGAAUAUAACCAUGAUUCUCUUAGCUGUGAAUCAGGAUCGAUGAGCCCAUCCAGGGUCAUGGCUAUUGAUCACCUAUCACCUCUGGUGGUCACUGAUUGAUAUCAGGACAAUCCAAUUAGUCAAUAUUGAUAUGAGAUUCUUCGAUCAAACCAGCAGGGGUCGGGAACAGGCAGCCUCGAGCCACAACUGUCCCAAGUGAUGUUUUUGAACCCCCAAUGUUUUGGGGGAUUUUAGUUUUUGGUCAAAAAGUGUAAUGCGUGCGUACUGGCGGCAGAGAAGUCAGGCGCAGGAUGGCAAAGACUGUGUUACAACGGUGGAGUUUCAUAAUAAAAUCACUGUGAACAAAAACAAUAAAUAAAUAGAAUGGGACGAAACCCUUCGCACGCCAGACAUAACAUAACUCUUACAAUCAACAAUACCGGACAAGGACAUGUGGGGAACAGAGGGUUAAAUACACAACAUGGGACGAAACCCUUCACACGCCAGACAUAACAUAACUCUUACAAUCAACAAUACCGGACAAGGACAUGUGGGGAACAGAGGGUUAAAUACACAACAUGGGACGAAACCCUUCACACGCCAGACAUAACAUAACUCUUACAAUCAACAAUACCGGACAAGGACAUGUGGGGAACAGAGGGUUAAAUACACAACAUGGGACGAAACCCUUCACACGCCAGACAUAACAUAACUCUUACAAUCAACAAUACCGGACAAGGACAUGUGGGGAACAGAGGGUUAAAUACACAACAUGNNNNNNNNNNGCAGGUAGGAGCAGGUAGGAGCAGAGUAGUAAAGUUGCAAGUGUCACUGCUCUAUUUCCGUGCUUACCUAGUAUUUUGUCUGUGAUAUUCAACUAAAAGUCAUAACCAGAUCAUUUAUAAAUACUGCCCAUCCACCUGUUUUUAACACUAGCCAUGGAAUGCUUCACAUCACUUUUUGAAUGACAACACUGCAGUGUGAUAAACAGUGUUAUAUGCAGAAGUUGAAACCAGACAAUUUAUGAAUAGCCUACUGUCCAUACCCCCAUACCCUCACAUACCCUCACAAGUGCUNNNNNNNNNNAUAUAACCAUGAUUCUCUUAGCUGUGAAUCAGGAUCGAUGAGCCCAUCCAGGGUCAUGGCUAUUGAUCACCUAUCACCUCUGGUGGUCACUGAUUGAUAUCAGGACAAUCCAAUUAGUCAAUAUUGAUAUGAGAUUCUUCGAUCAAACCAGCAGGGGUCGGGAACAGGCAGCCUCGAGCCACAACUGUCCCAAGUGAUGUUUUUGAACCCCC
rnacentral:lncRNA from 13 species